AAACACACUCAUUUGCGGUCAUUGAGGCCACCUUGGCGCAGAUCACUUAAAGUGAAAAGGUGGACCUGGACUGAGGGUGUAAAAUCCCUGGACACAUUCGUGAGGCAGGAAAAAGAAGAGGAAGAUUAGAAGAUUUUUUUUUUUCUUUGAGAGAAAGCCCAGCGGAGAUAAACGAAUGUCCCCUCAUCUCCAAAGAAAAGUUCAUCGGAUUUUUAUUCUAGAGAGCUCAUCUUCAGGAUGUCAGUGAACAUUUCUACUGCAGGAAAAGGUGUGGAUCCAAAUACAGUUGAUACUUAUGACAGUGGCGAUGAUUGGGAAAUCGGGGUUGGAAAUUUAAUAAUUGAUUUGGACGCUGAUUUGGAGAAGGACAGACAGAAAUUUGAGAUGAAUAAUUCCACCACCACCACUAGUAGCAGCAACUCCAAGGAUUGUGGAGGUCCGGCCUCCAGUGGGGCUGGUGCUACCGCAGCCUUAGCUGAUGGCCUAAAAUUUGCUUCUGUUCAGGCCUCUGCUCCCCAGGGGAAUUCACACAAAGAGACCAGCAAAUCAAAAGUGAAAAGGAGUAAAACUU
rnacentral:sRNA from 1 species